rnacentral:rRNA from 1 species
GACGAACGCUGGCGGCGUGCCUAAUACAUGCAAGUCGAGCGAACAGAGGAGGUGCUUGUACCAACUAGGUUAGCGGCGGACGGGUGAGUAACACGUGGGGAACCUACCUUUGAGAGUGGGACAACAUCGGGAAACCGGAGCUAAUACCGGAUAAUAACUUUAAACACAAGGUUCAAGAGUGAAAGACGGAUUUGCUUCAAUCAAUAGUGGGAUCCGCGUCGGUUUAGCUAGUUGGUAAGGAAACGGUCUACCAAGGGAACGAUGAGUAGCCGACCUGAGAGGGUGAUCGGCCACACUGGAACUGAGACACGGUCCAGACUCCUACGGGAGGCAGCAGUAGGGAAUCUUCCGCAAUGGGCGAAAGCCUGACGGAGCAACGCCGCGUGAGUGAUGAAGGUCUUCGGAUCGUAAAACUCUGUUAUUAGGGAAGAACAAAUGUGUAAGUAACUAUGCACGUCUUGACGGUACCUAAUCAGAAAGCCACGGCUUACUUCGUU